CCCCCUCUCUGGGCAGAAGCUGAAUAGAAUCUGUAUCCUGGGAGGAGGGUGACAGCAGAUCUGUAUCAGGCAGUGCGGGGUCCUGGUGGGCUGCACAGGCUGGGCAGGGGCUUCUGCUGCUGUUUGCUGUCGGUGAUCAGCUGCCUGGAGACAUUAUAUCCCUGCUGUGCCCACAGCUGGAGCCUCACCGCAGGAUGGCACUUCACAUGGCAUCAACACAGCCUGAGAAGAAGCCGGAAAAGGAGAAGGACGAGGAGAGCGAAGAUGAGAGCGAAGUCCUGGAGGAGAGUCCCUGCGGCCGCUGGCACAAGAGGAGGGAACAGAUAUUGUCUGUGUCUCUAUGAGGAGUCCAAAUACAGGAAGUGAGGGUGGACAAGCGGGGAACUGUACACUGAGGAGAAGCGGGGCUCUGUACACUGAGGAGAAGCGGGGCUCUGUACAC